AUUGAACGCUGGCGGCAUGCCUUACACAUGCAAGUCGAACGGCAGCACGGGUGCUUGCACCUGGUGGCGAGUGGCGAACGGGUGAGUAAUACAUCGGAACAUGUCCUGUAGUGGGGGAUAGCCCGGCGAAAGCCGGAUUAAUACCGCAUACGAUCUACGGAUGAAAGCGGGGGACCUUCGGGCCUCGCGCUAUAGGGUUGGCCGAUGGCUGAUUAGCUAGUUGGUGGGGUAAAGGCCUACCAAGGCGACGAUCAGUAGCUGGUCUGAGAGGACGACCAGCCACACUGGGACUGAGACACGGCCCAGACUCCUACGGGAGGCAGCAGUGGGGAAUUUUGGACAGUGGGCGAAAGCCUGAUCCAGCAAUGCCGCGUGUGUGAAGAAGGCCUUCGGGUUGUAAAGCACUUUUGUCCGAAAGAAAUCCUUGGCCCUAAUACGGUCGGGGGAUGACGGUACCGGAAGAAUAAGCACCGGCUAACUACGUG
rnacentral:rRNA from 1 species